AUUGAACGCUGGCGGCAGGCCUAACACAUGCAAGUCGAGCGGAUGAAGGGAGCUUGCUCCUGGAUUCAGCGGCGGACGGGUGAGUAAUGCCUAGGAAUCUGCCUGGUAGUGGGGGAUAACGUCCGGAAACGGGCGCUAAUACCGCAUCCGUCCUGAGGGAGAAAGUGGGGGAUCUUCGGACCUCACGCUAUCAGAUGAGCCUAGGUCGGAUUAGCUAGUUGGUGGGGUAAAGGCCUACCAAGGCGACGAUCCGUAACUGGUCUGAGAGGAUGAUCAGUCACACUGGAACUGAGACACGGUCCAGACUCCUACGGGAGGCAGCAGUGGGGAAUAUUGGACAAAGGGCGAAAGCCUGAUCCAGCCAUGCCGCGUGUGUGAAGAAGGUCUUCGGAUUGUAAAGCACUUUAAGUUGGGAGGAAGGGCAGUAAGUUAAUACCUUGCUGUUUUGACGUUACCAACAGAAUAAGCACCGGCUAACUUCGUG
rnacentral:rRNA from 1 species